rnacentral:rRNA from 1 species
AUUGAACGCUGGCGGCAUGCCUUACACAUGCAAGUCGAACGGUAACAGGUCUUCGGAUGCUGACGAGUGGCGAACGGGUGAGUAAUACAUCGGAACGUGCCUAGUAGUGGGGGAUAACUACUCGAAAGAGUGGCUAAUACCGCAUGAGAUCUACGGAUGAAAGCAGGGGAUCGCAAGACCUUGUGCUACUAGAGCGGCCGGUGGCAGAUUAGGUAGUUGGUGGGAUAAAAGCUUACCAAGCCGACGAUCUGUAGCUGGUCUGAGAGGACGAUCAGCCACAGUGGGACUGAGACAAGGCCCAGACUCCUACGGGAGGCAGCAGUGGGGAAUUUUGGACAAUGGGCGAAAGCCUGAUCCAGCAAUGCCGCGUGCAGGAUGAAGGCCUUCGGGUUGUGAACUGCUUUUGUACGGAACGAAAAGCCCCGGGUUAAUACCCUGGGGUCAUGACGGUACCGUAAGAAUAAGCACCGGCUAACUACGUGCCAGCAGCCGCCGUAA